AGAUUGAACGCUGGCGGCAGGCCUAACACAUGCAAGUCGAGCGGCAGCACGGGUACUUGUACCUGGUGGCGAGCGGCGGACGGGUGAGUAAUGCCUAGGAAUCUGCCUGGUAGUGGGGGAUAACGCUCGGAAACGGACGCUAAUACCGCAUACGUCCUACGGGAGAAAGCAGGGGACCUUCGGGCCUUGCGCUAUCAGAUGAGCCUAGGUCGGAUUAGCUAGUUGGUGAGGUAAUGGCUCACCAAGGCGACGAUCCGUAACUGGUCUGAGAGGAUGAUCAGUCACACUGGAACUGAGACACGGUCCAGACUCCUACGGGAGGCAGCGAGUGGGGAAUAGUUGGACAAGUUGGGACGAAAGGCCUUAGGAUACCCAGCCCAAGUGCCCGGCGGUGGUGUAGGAAGUAAGGUCGUUCGGUAUUGGUAAAAGUCUACGUUUAAAGGUUGGGAAGGUAAGGGCGUACGGUUAACUAAGUUACGUUAUGUUGUUUUGACGUUACCGA
rnacentral:rRNA from 1 species